rnacentral:rRNA from 1 species
AUUGAACGCUGGCGACAGGCUUAACACAUGCAAGUCGAGCGAGCGGCGCACGGGUGAGAAACGUCGGGGAAACAGCCUGAUGGCGGGGGUUAACUACUGGAAACGGUAGCUAAUACCGCAUACCAUCAGCUUUGACCAGAUGGCAUUAGCUAGUAGGUGGGGUAAGGGCUCACCUAGGCGACGAUCCCUAGCUGGUCUGCGAGGGUGACCGGCCACACUGGAACUGGGACACGGUCCAGACUCCUAAGGGAGGCAGCAGUGGGGAAUAUUGCACAAUGGGCGAAAGCCGGAUGCAGCCAUGCCGCGUGUGUGAAGAAGGCCUUCGGGUUGUAAAGCACUUUCAGCGAGGAAGCGUUACUCACAGAAGAAGCCCCGGCUAACUCCGUGCCAGCAGCCGCGGUAAUUC